AACCACGUUUUGCAUUUUCAAGCUCAGUAGCUCAGUAGCUCUGCACGUCGUGCAGAAGUGUAGAUCGGCUGUUGUAGUGAUUCACUUUAGUACAUGGAUUUAGUCUUCUUUUACAAGAUAGAUGUGAUUCACUAUUUGUAGGUUCACCUAUCACGCACUAAAAACGCACCGUAUCAGCACCUAAUUUUGCCUCUGCACUGGCUUAGUUUAGUUGCGCAUGCCAAACCUUGUUUUUCUGGGUAGUAAUGGAAGUCUAGAUAGAAUAGAACAACGUUGUUUAAGUUAAGGAUAAGCUAAUCUAAGUUCAAGUUAAGACAGAAAUGGUUACUUUAAAGUAAAGCGUAAUCUGACUCGCUCGUUAUUUUGGCACAGCACUAUUUCUGCCAUUUCGUCUUAACUGUUUUAUGCGAUAUUUACCUGUAGUCUUUGCUCGCAAACUAUUUCAUGCAAUUGUAUGUUGUCAGCACUUUACACAAUUUGCCAAUACCCCAUCAAUCCCCAAAACCUUCCGACUAACGAACUAACGAAUUCAUUUUUGUUUUCAGGAUGGUUCCAAUUAAUUGUAAUUGUAGUUUGUUACAUAAUGAUCUAUUCAAAUUAUUCUAACACAAUUUUAUUUUUCGUGUCCUUUCAUCUCAUUGAGGAGGCAGCCAAAGACGAUUUUGUACAUCGUGGAUUAAGGCCGAAGUAAUUAGAUUAACCCAAAGGGUUUACCAGGGAUGCUACAGAUUGCUGGACGUCGAGGAUCAACUACUGGGUUACUAGAUUUAGAAUUAGAGGAUUUUAGGUAUUUUAAAAUUUUUAAUCUUAAUCGAGGUUAUUUUUUGUGUAGUGAGGUGGUUAGUUGUGCUUUUAUGUACCAAGAUUUGCCCACGACACUACCGAAGAUGACCACUGGACAAUGAUGAUCGUUGAUAGGACCAUAGCUCAAGAUUGCCAGUAUUGAUUUUAAAAUAUUAAGUCUAUAACCAUGUUUGUUUUUGUUUUUGUAUCUAAGAGGGUUACAUCACUAUCGAAGGGGACUACUAGAUAAUGAGAAUCGUUGUCCAUAAUUUUCAAGAGGGGUUUCAUUCACCACCGAAAAGGUUUAUUCGACGACGAGGAUAGUCGGCAGGACUGUAGCACAAGAUUGCUAGGAAUUAAUUUUAAAAAGUUAUUUGUAUUCCAUGUUUUUAUUUAUUUGUUUUUUUAUUUGUUGUGUCUAGGAGGGUCCGCAUCCCCAUCGGGAAGACCUUUAUUUGUUGUGUGUCUAGGAGGGUGUGUAUCAUUAAGGAAGAAGAUUACUGGACGUCGAAGAUCGCUGCCAGGAUUGCCAGGUAUUUAUUUUAAAAUCUUAUGUAACUAUCCAUGUUUUUUUUUAAAUGUAACUUAGAUGGUCCUUCAUCACCACUGAAGAGUAUCAUUUGGAUAACGAGGAUUGCUGUCAGAGCCUACAGAAUUGUCGCCUAAAAUUUUCUAGAGGGUUCCCAUCACGACCAAAAAGGGCUAGUGGACAAUGCAGGUCGUCGCCAGAACUGUACCUCCAAGUUAACCAGAUAUUAACAUUGAAAUCUUAAGUAUCAAACCUUGUUUUUUUGGUUUGCUUUGUUUUGUUUUGUUUUGUUUUUGUUUUUUUUUUUUUUUUUUUUUUUUAGGAUAUCAUCACCGAUCAUCAUCAUCACCGAAGAGAACCACUGGACAAUGAAGAUUGUCAGCAGAUCUGACAGGAUUGUCGCCCAAAAUAGUUAUAAAAGGGCUUACAUCAACACUGAAGAAGGCUAUUUGGCAACGAGGAUUGUCGCCAAGACCGUUGACCAGAAAUGCCAAGUAUUAAUUUCUUAAAUGUUAAGUGUUAAACUGUGUUAUAUUUAAUUUUUUAAUGUUUGUAUAGGAGGACCUGUAACACCACUGGGAGGACUUUUGGACGUUGAAUAUUUUCGGUGGAGUUAUCAAAUUUAUCGCUAAAGAAUUUCAGGUGUUAACAUUAAAAUUUUAAAUAGCUAGUCAUGUUUUUUUUGUCUUUUGUUUUUUUUGUAAGAGGUACAAGAGCAUCACAGAGUAAAGUAUGUCCAUUAGGAGGAUGGGAAAACAGAAUAUGAUACGGCUAAGUAUUGCCAAAUCGGCAUUUGCUUACUUUAUUCUAUACUUUGAUUUGUUGAUAUACAAGUGUUUCUAAUUCCUUUUUCCCUACCAUUAUUUUCCUUCGAGCACUGGGUUAUGGUUUCACCUUGCACGGAGCACAUAAAUUCACUACACCUUAACCCCGGGGUUCAUCCAGUGUUUGCGUUAGAUUUUAUGCAUAGGUUAGGGAUGUUUGAAGUUUAGGUUAUGUAGUCCAGCUACAUUGGUAUCAUGCUUUAUAUUUACUAUUAAUAAUUAAUACUAAUCUUAUAUAAAUAAUAUUAAUUACUUUCUAAAACAAAAAUUGGUAACAAAAUAAAUUUAUAUUGUCUUUUCUUGCAGUUUUCACGUUGAAUAUGGAUUAUGUUGAAAAUUUCUGAUAUAAAAUUGGUUCAUCAGUCUGCCAAGCACGUUGAUCAGGACAUUUAUCAAGGAAAUAAAGCUGAAGCUUAUUGAUAAUCAGGACUGUUACUUGCAGAAAGGUGCAUAUGAAUUAGGUCUUUGUUUACAUUAUUCUUCUUUACAGAAAUAAUAUGAAAUAAAAUCAUUUUGUGAUUCAUCAUAUGUGUGUGAUACACACAUUCUUAUCCUGAUGAAAAAGAAACAGGGUUAAGUCACUGAAAUUACAGAUAUUCUCCGACAACUCCAUGUCAAGACCAACAAGUUGAUGGAAAAGCUAGAAAACUAGUUGUGGUAGGCUUUUCCUUUAGUUAUCUUUGUCAAUUUAUCUUCAUGGUCUAAUGUCUUUAAUUUACCUUAAUUUUAUCUUGAAACAAAUGAAACUUAUUCUUGCGUCAAGGACAAUGAGACUUUCUACAAAGAAGAAAGGUGUCGACGAAAUGAGCAAAAGCACAAUCACUACCAAAAGUGCAUGAAAAAUGCUGGUUCUUUGUGUUAUAUGUUUGUCUUCUUUUUAACAGAUUGACUAGAAUAACAAAGCUAUUGAAUAAACUUAUUAUUUGGGGA